GAUGAACGCUGGCGGCGUGCUUAACACAUGCAAGUCGAGCGAAGCACUAAAGCGGAUUUCUUCGGAUUGAAGGUUUAGUGACUGAGCGGCGGACGGGUGAGUAACGCGUGGGUAACCUGCCUCAUACAGGGGGAUAACAGUUGGAAACGGCUGCUAAUACCGCAUAAGCGCACAGUACCGCAUGGUACGGUGUGAAAAGCUCCGGUGGUAUGAGAUGGACCCGCGUCUGAUUAGGUAGUUGGUGGGGUAACGGCCUACCAAGCCGACGAUCAGUAGCCGACCUGAGAGGGUGACCGGCCACAUUGGGACUGAGACACGGCCCAAACUCCUACGGGAGGCAGCAGUGGGGAAUAUUGCACAAUGGGGGAAACCCUGAKGCAGCGACGCCGCGUGAGCGAAGAAGUAUUUCGGUAUGUAAAGCUCUAUCAGCAGGGAAGAA
rnacentral:rRNA from 1 species